GCAGCAGGGAACUCACGCUUGCGUAGAGGCUAAGUGCUUCGGCACAGCACAAGCCCGCUGCG
rnacentral:misc_RNA from 2 species